AUUGAACGCUGGCGGCAGGCUUAACACAUGCAAGUCGAGCGAGAGGCGGACGGGUGAGUAAUGUCUGGGAAACUGCCUGAUGGAGGGGGAUAACUAGUGGAAACGGUAGAUAAUACCGCAUACCCUCAGAUCGGCCCAGAUGGGAGUAGCUAGUAGGUGGGGUAAUGGCUUACCUAGGCGACGAUCCAUAGCUGGUCUGAGAGGAUGACCAGCCACACUGGAACUGAGACACGGUCCAGACUCCUACGGGAGGCAGCAGUGGGGAAUAUUGCGCAGUGGGCGCAAGCCUGAUGCAGCCAUGCCGCGUGUGUGAAGAAGGUCUUCGGGUUGUACAGCACUUUCAGCCAGGAGGCGUUAUUUGCAGAAGAAGCACCGGCUAACUCCGUGCCAGCAGCCGCGGUAAUUC
rnacentral:rRNA from 1 species